AGUGGGUGCCCCUUGCAAUAGAGGGCAGGUAGAUGGUUGGCACCCCUUUAGGAUUUUCAUGCACAAGAGAGGGGGCGUAGCCCCUCUCCCUCUCUCCUUCCAUGCCAAUGCAAGAGAGAGGGUGGGCCUCCCUCUCUUGCUCACACCAAUCCAAGAGAUGGCACCCAAGGGAAUUUCCAAAAGAGAAGCAUGGCGCCAACUCUUCUUUCC
rnacentral:lncRNA from 1 species